rnacentral:tRNA from 1 species
UUAGCUCCGUGGUAGAGCAGUUGCCUGGCAUGCAUGAGGCCCUGGGUUCAAUCCCCAGA